rnacentral:rRNA from 1 species
UGGGGGAUAUUGCACAAUGGAGGAAACUCUGAUGCAGCGACGCCGCGUGAGGGAAGAAGGUUUUCGGAUUGUAAACCUCUGUCUUCGGGGACGAAACAAAUGACGGUACUCGAGGAGGAAGCCACGGCUAACUACGUGCCAGCAGCCGCGGUAAUACGUAGGUGGCAAGCGUUGUCCGGAAUUACUGGGUGUAAAGGGAGCGCAGGCGGAACUGCAAGUUGGGUGUUUAAUCUACGGGCUCAACCCGUAUCAGCAUUCAAAACUGUGGUUCUUGAGUAAUGCAGAGGUAGGCGGAAUUCCCGGUGUAGCGGUGGAAUGCGUAGAUAUCGGGAGGAACACCAGUGGCGAAGGCGGCCUACUGGGCAUCAACUGACGCUGAGGCUCGAAAGCAUGGGUAGCAAACAGGAUUAGAUACCCUGGUAGUCCAUGCUGUAAACGAUGAUUACUAGGUGUGGGGAGAUUGACCCUCUCCGUGCCGCAGUUAACACAAUAAGUAAUCCACCUGGGGAGUACGACCGCAAGGUUG